UGUGUCUCUUUAGUAGAGGAAGCCUUAAGAUAGAGGUUAAUCAGCCAAGUAACAGUUAAGGAAGAAUGCUACAGGAGCAGGUAGGGAAAACUUUGAGGUAGAGCUAAUGAGGGAAUAGCUAUUAGUUUGAAGAUAUUUGGAUUCUCAUUUGCACUGGUUUGUCCUAUCCUGGAAGGGGUUUAGAUGUUUGUGACCUGACCAGAGGGCUGAGCUAUAGGAGAUGAAGACUCAGAAAGAUGUAUUGUAAGCCCUGAGGGACAACCCAAUAGGGAGGUGCCAGAAAUGAAGAUCCCUAUAAAGAUGCCCUCAGAUGGGAGAGGGUACACUACAGGUACCGUUUUACAUCCUGUGUUCUGGAAGAGUCUGACUUUGAGCAUUGAAAGUAGAGAUGACUUUUGUCAGUGGGAGCAGGAUUGAGACCCAAAUAUUAAGGACUCUAAACCACAAGGUAUUCGUGGAAGGUGUGGAUCUUAGCUUGGUUGCUUUUAGAGAACUUAUUUACAUCUCAGAACCUUUCUGUAGCAACAUUCUUUCAUCUUGCAAUUUCAAAGCACUUCCAUUAAGCCUCACAACACCCCCCUGAGGAAGGGAAGUUACUGUCAUCCCCAUUUUACAUAUGAGGCAACUGAGGCACAGAGAUGUGUAAUGACUCAUCCAAGUCAUUGCCGCAAGUCAGUGGAAGAGACCGGACACCCAGAUGAAUGUUCCAACCACCAUG